CUGUGGGGAGGACUGGGCUUAACUGCUGACCAUUCAGGGCUGGACCUGACCAUUCCCACCAGCCUCUUUCCACACCAAGCUCUGGCUGGAGUCAGCAUCGGCACCUGCUCAUUUUCUGCUGGGUGCUUGGUGAUAGGAUCCUGCAAGAGGCAGGGUUUGGGAGGUUCAAGGCCUACUGCUGGCUCACAGUGAUGUAGAUUUCAUCACUAGCUUCAAAGGGGACAGACCACAGUCAAGCCCAGGAGAGGCCGGAGGCCUGACUGCUUCCAGGUCUGAGGUUCCAUAAACUGGAUGUGCCCCAGUGUUAGGGGCCUCACCAAGCCUUGGAGGUGGACUUUGACAGGGCUUACAAAUGACACUGGACUUCAAGUGAAAAGACACCAGGAGAUAGGAAAUCUCAAAGGAAUGGUUGGACCCAGAAAGGAGCUGAGCUCAGCCUGGUGGCUCUGAGGACUCCACACAGCAAAGGACAGCGGGCCCAUCCUGGCAAAGAGCCCUUACCAGCAGAUGCUUGGGAACGCACAGUCCUGAAAUGUUGGCGGCUCCUGAUCUCCACCACUGAGCCAUCUGGAAGAUAAAUGGGAUCCUGUGCACCAUGCCGGAGACUCCGAAGUUGUCUAUCCUGUUCCCAACAAGCUUGGACUCCAGGAACUCUGUCCGUGCUGUGACCUGACCCAGCCUGACUCCUGCCCCUGGCCUUCUUCUUCCCACCAGAUGAAAUGCUGGGUGACCUUGAGUCACCCACAGCAGGGGAGCAGCAUUUUGCUGUCCAUCACAGACAGUAUUGUGAAAAUUACAGCAAAAAGAAAUUACUCCAAAAAAAUGAAAUCA